rnacentral:rRNA from 1 species
CGUGGGUAACCUGCCCAAGAGAUCGGGAUAACACCUGGAAACAGAUGCUAAUACCGGAUAACAACAGAUGAUGCCUAUCAACUGUUUAAAAGAUGGUUCUGCUAUCACUCUUGGAUGGACCUGCGGUGCAUUAGCUAGUUGGUAGGGUAACGGCCUACCAAGGCGAUGAUGCAUAGCGAGUUGAGAGACUGAUCGGCCACAUUGGGACUGAGACACGGCCCAAACUCCUACGGGAGGCAGCAGGG